GAAAAUAAUAACUUAUUUGUAAUUAUUGUUAAUUUGUAAUAAAAAUAAUUUUUUAAUAUUAUGAGUAAAGUAAAAUCUAUUAAAAUAUUGAUAAAAAUAAUAAAGAAUAGUACUGUGAAGGAAAUUUGAAAUAUAUGAAAACUUAAAUAUGCUAAAGUAGUUUUAAACAAUCUUACCUUGUGUAUCAGGGUAUUUCAAUUUAAUUGUGUUUUAUAAUAAUCCCGAAACAAAAAGAGUUAUAGUCUUUAAUAAGUUUUUGUAGUAAAUAAUUUAAAAAAAUAACUAUAGAUGUGAAAUGUUAGCCGGUUUUUGUAAUAUCUGGUUACUAAAGAAUAAAAUUAAAUUUAAUAUUUCUAUUUGUUUAUAGAAAUAUCAAGAAAAGAAGGGUUCAGCUUUUUUUUCUAUAAUGAAUAUUUAAUAGUAGACUUAAAAUCUUAAAUUGAAACUAGGCUUAAAAGCAGCCAUUUUAAUAAAGUGUUAUAACUAACAUAAUAAUUAUUAUUAUUUAUAUUCCUACUUUAUUUAAUUAUUUAGUAUUAUUAAUUAAUCAAAUAUUAAAAGUUAUAAUGAUUUAAUCAGUAGAUAAAUUUGUACUAUAAAAAUAUUUAAACAUUUAAGUUUUAUAAAAUAUAAAUAAUUUUAUUAAGUAACUCGGCAAAAAUUGUCUCUGCCUGUUUAUCAAAAACAUGUCUUUAUGAAAUAUUUAUAAAGUCUGGCCUGCCCACUGAAUUUUAAAGGGCCGCGGUAUUUUGACCGUGCAAAGGUAGCAUAGUCAUUUGUCUCUUAAUUGGAGGCUUGUAUGAAUGGUCGCACAAGAAACAAACUGUCUUCAAUAAAAUUAAUUGAAUUUAACUUUUAAGUAAAAAGGCUUAAAUAAAUUAAAGUGACGAUAAGACCCUAUAAAACUUGAUAAAUAAAAUUAAAAAAGCGUAUUAGUUUAUUAAAACUUUUUUUUCUAACUUAUUUUAUUGGGGCGAUAAAAAUAUAAAAAGUAACUGUUUUUAAAAUUUUAAUGGUUAAUAACUAAAUUAAAUAAAUGAUCCUUUAAUAAAGAUUAAAAGAUUAAGUUACUUUAGGGAUAACAGCGUAAUUUUCUUUGAGAGUUCAUAUCUACAAGAAAGAUUACGACCUCGAUGUUGAAUUAAAAAAUCUUUAAGGUGUAGCAGCUUUAAAAGAAGGUCUGUUCGACCUUUAAAUUUUUACAUGAUUUGAGUUCAGACCGGUGUGAGCCAGGUCGGUUUCUAUCUUUUAAUUAAUAAAAAUUACUUUAGUACGAAAGGAUUGAGUAAUUGAAAAAUUUUUGUGUAAUUGAAUUAUAAUAAAU
rnacentral:rRNA from 1 species